CCAGACUCCUACGGGAGGCAGCAGUGGGGAAUAUUGCACAAUGGGGGAAACCCUGAUGCAGCGACGCCGCGUGAGUGAAGAAGCGCCUCGGCGCGUAAAGCUCUGUCAGCAGGAACGACGAUGACGGUACCUGAAGAAGAAGCCCCGGCUAACUACGUGCCAGCAGCCGCGGUAAUACGUAGGGGGCAAGCGUUAUCCGGAUUUAUUGGGUUUAAAGGGUGCGUAGGCGGAAUGCCAAGUCAGCGGUAAAAUCGCGGGGCUCAACCUCGCUCCGCCGUUGAAACUGGCGUUCUUGAGUGGGCGAGAAGUAUGCGGAAUGCGUGGUGUAGCGGUGAAAUGCAUAGAUAUCACGCAGAACUCCGAUUGCGAAGGCAGCAUACCGGCGCCCAACUGACGCUGAAGCACGAAAGCGUGGGUAUCGAACAGGAUUAGAUACCCCCGUAU
rnacentral:rRNA from 1 species